CCUACGGGUGGCAGCAGUGGGGAAUAUUGGGCAAUGGGCGCAAGCCUGACCCAGCAACGCCGCGUGAAUGAAGAAGGCCUUCGGAUUGUAAACUUCUUUUCUCAGGGAAGAAUAAAGUGACGGUACCUGAGGAAUAAGCUACGGCUAACUACGUGCCAGCAGCCGCGGUAAUACGUAGGUGGCAAGCGUUAUACGGAUUUAUUGGGCGUAAAGGGCGUGUAGGCGGGAGGGCAAGUAAGAUGUGAAAACUCAGGGCUCAACCCUGGGGCUGCAUUUGAAACUGGUAUUCUUGAGUGCUGGAGAGGUUAGUGGAAUUCCGUGUGUAGCGGUGAAAUGCGUAGAUAUAAGGAGGAACACCAGUGGCGAAGGCGGAUAUCUGGACUGUAACUGACGCUGAGGCGCGAAAGCGUGGGGAGCAAACAGGAUUAGAUACCCCGGUAGUC
rnacentral:rRNA from 1 species